UGAAGAUGCAGUGUACCCGCGGCUAGACGGAAAGACCCCGUGAACCUUUACUACAGCUUGGCACUGAACAUUGACCCUACAUGUGUAGGAUAGGUGGGAGGCUUUGAAGCAGGUACGCCAGUAUCUGUGGAGCCGUCCUUGAAAUACCACCCUUGUAGUGUUGAUGUUCUAACGUCGACCCCUAAUCGGGGUUGCGGACAGUGCCUGGUGGGUAGUUUGACUGGGGCGGUCUCCUC
rnacentral:rRNA from 1 species